UUUUUUUUUCUUGUUAUGAAUGUCAUUUUUUAAGGAGGCAUGUUAGGUCCUAAUAUUAUCUAUAACUUCCACUUUGAAUAUGCAUGAUGUUUUUAGCUCAGGUAAAUCAAUAGCUUGUGCUAUAUUGCUUACAUGAAGAUUUGCUUCAGCCAUUUUUUCUAUCUGGGCAGCCUUCUCACUUGCAAUUGCUGCAGCUAACUCUGCUUUUGCCAGAUCUUGAAGUUUUCUCAACUUUGAUUCUAACUCAUUUUCCUGCAAUGAAAUCAUUUUUAAAAGUAUUGGUAAAGGGUCAGCAACUUGAGCUUGUUUGUCAUUUAAGAAACACUCCUACCUUCUGUUCAAGUUCCUUCUGAAAUUUAUCUUCCAAAUUCUCUUGUAGUGACAUCAGAGCAGCAGCUGCUUUUGUUUUCUCUCGUUUUAACUCCUGAAAAUAGUUAAAAUCCCAAGAAGCCAAUUAUAAGAAUGAGAGAAACACAACAACAGUGUACAGAUGUACGCUCUCUGUUCAGAUGAUACAUCUAUAAGAGACUCCACGUGCGUAAUUCAAAAAUUGAGAAUUCAACCUUGUCCAACAUAGCAGCCUUUUCUGCAUGCAUAAAUUCCCUAACCCGAGCAUCCCUCAAUGCUUCGUCCAUCUUGUUCUGUACAGAACAGAAACAUAAAUCACAGUCAAUAAUAGUCGCAUUUCAUAAAAAUUACAAUCGUUUCACGUACGAUAUAAAAAAUAUCUAUCGAUCCAUACCCACAGUGCUGUCUUUUCAUCAGCAAAACGACGAUAAUCCAGCUCAGCUUGCCGCUUUUCAGCAGCAUGAAUAGCUUCUAAGAAAUCAAUGACCAAUUUCCCAUCCUUGGAUAUGAAGCCAUCAUUCAACUCCUCAAUUUCAGCAAUUAAAGCCUGGCAUCUUGGAAACAAAACUUUAGAUCUUGUCUAAGACUCCUUUACUCAAUUCCAGAAAAAUGGACAUCCAUCAAGAAGAAGGAAAAAGUAAAUGACCUCUGUUCCUUUGUAAAACUUGUCAGUUCCAUCUUUGCUACCACCACCCAAGGAAGUCAUGCCAGCCUCACCCUUCAAAUGGUAGGCCUCGAGAAGAGAACUUGGCUCCCCUGUAUCUUCACUUGUAUCAUUCAACUCCUGGAUAGAAUACGAGCAGAGACAGAUUCACUUUAAGUUACACAUCUUUACUAGAAAUGAAUAUAUUUGGAUAAGAGAUUAAUAUAUUUAAGAAACAAAAGUUCAGAGAUGAUAUCCUGUGAAUCUAGAAUGUCUAAUUCUAAUGAACCAAUCAUCCUCAUCAAACUUCAUUUCUGGCCCGAAUACUAUUAGGCAAGGGAUUCUAGGUACCUGGUAUUUUUUCUAACUUGCCUCCUGUAAUAAACGUUUCAGUAAUCCCUUUCUGACACUGGAGUGGACGAAUAAUAAGUUGGAAUAGACCAAAUAGGUUCGUCUGCUGUAUGAUGAGAGGCUAGUCAUCUUCUUCAACACCCUAUGCAAUAUUUACAAAUUUUAACCUUCUUAUUAAUCCAUAAGGAUUAUAGACCUAUAAUCUGGUCUCUCCUUCUGCAAAGUCCUCAUCAUAUUUGAGAAGAUUUUUAUCAUGAGAGAUGAUGACUUGGUUUUGCCACUAUCUUGCUAACACGUGUUUCAGUUUCACCCACGUAUCAAAGAUAAGGGGGUUUGGACAUUUGAUUGUUCCAAGUCUUUCUCUUGUGAGCUGGUUUCUGGAAGGUUACACUCAUGAAGAAAACUAAAUUUUGCACGCUUGAUGCCUGGUGAUUUAUAGGAGGAUUAAUCCCAAAUCUCCACAGGUGUUCCUAUUUUACCAGUUAAUUGAAGAUUAAGAGGAUCUACACAUUUUUUUACUUUUCCCUUUUCCCAUAAUGAUUUGGUUUAGGUUUUGCAAUUGUUUGGCAUUAUUUUGGCCCCAUUUUGUAAUUUUCAUUCUAUGAUUGAAGAAGUUCUAGUAGAUCCUUCAGUUCAGGAAAGAGAAAUAGACAAUUGUGGUGGCAGGUUUUUAAUCAACAUAAGAUAUAUUUGGUAGAGAGAAACGUGAGGAUGUUUCAAUUAAGGGUCCUCAGAUAAAGUGUAGCCAGACUCAAAAUUAAGUUCCUCAUAGAGGAUUUUUUGUUGAAACAUUUUUAGUGAUUUUACUCUCAUUUCAAUUACCAAUAAUUAUACCAAUUUUUUCUAACUGUUUUCCUUCUCAUAACCCUUUUAUCUUGGCGUGGGCUUUUUUAUAUACAGCCUCUGUUUACUUUCUUCCCUGCCUCUUAAUAUAAGCUGGUUCACUAUUAAAAAGAAUUUGCAUUGAGCACGUGCAUUGUAUUGUAUGACUUAAACCUUCAAGCUACCAUUACAUCAACAUUUGAUCUGAAUGGAUAAAUUGAAGUUACCUUCAGUUUCUCUUCUGCAACUGUAUCUUCUUGUGGUGGUAUUCUGAUAUCAAUCUGUGCGGGUUCUGCAUCUGUCUUGCUAGAUAUUGGUGAAGUUUGAACUUCAUCGUGAGGCCAAUCCCUAGUACAAGACUCUGCGCUUUGCAUGUUCAAGUUUUCAUCUGUGGAUAUUUUAGAUCCAAGAUUCUCAUCCUCUACUUGACUGCCACUUUGAGUAAAUUCUGGCAAGUUUUCCUCCUCGAUCUUUUCAUGUGGCAGUGUCCUGGAACUGUCUUCAAACUGACCAUCAUCUUUCUCUUUUCCCCAAUCUUCAAGAUGAGGAAGGUGGGUAUCUGUCUCAACUUUCUGCUCAGUAGACUCCACAAUGGGAUUUGAGCUCUCGGUUUCUUCUCUAACACUAUUCGAUUUUUCGGUUUCCUCACUACUCGGUAAAUCAAAUUUCUGCACCACCAAAGGUUGGACAUUGUCUGAAUCACUUUUCUGAACUGUUUUAGUUGACUCUACAGAAGAAUUCUGCUCUAUAUCAACAGUUCGUUGGUCUAGAUAGCCGGCUUGGUAAGCUGCAAAAACAGCAGCACCAAUAACAACACUGCCAAAGACAACUUUUGGGAUGGAAUUUCCAGAAUUAGGUGGCACAUUUGUAGGUUGUGGUUUCAGAUUUUGUUUGGGCGCAGAUGAAAAUUCCCUUAUCUUAGAAAUACAUUGGGGUGUAUGCCAACAUUGCACCUGCAACAAAAACCUGUCAAAGAAUCAGAAAAUAUUUGAAAAAGUACACCAUUAAACCACAAAAAAUAUCAGGAUUGCAUAGUUUGGUCCCUAUAUUUUAUUAUAGACUAGUUUUGCAACACACUCUGUUCGUCCUCCCAUUUCAUUUGUCUCACAGCUUUUGGGCACAGUAAAAUUAAACAUAAGAAUAGAAACAUGUCAAUGGGUUUAACAUUUCUUAACACUGUCAAUUAAUUACAACAGCAGAAGAAAGAAUGGUAUAAAUAGAAAGUUCGUGUAUGUUAUAUGAGAAGGCUUCAAGUAGUCAGUUAAUAAAGACAGCACAACUGCAUCACAAGCACGUAGCAGGCAGAUGAAAAACUAUAUGCAUGUCUUUGCUCCCAAGUCAAAAAUAAAUUUCCAAGCAUUUAUUUUGCAGAUGCUCGUACUACCAAGAAAGAAUAGCAUAAAUAGCAAUUUAGUGUAUGUUAAAAGAUCCCAAUGUUGUACAUUUCCACCCAACUGCAUCUACGAUAACAUAUGUGAAGAACCAAGCAUGUGGAUUUAUAUGCUUAUAAGUCGAAUACACACUUCUCCAAAUAUCUGUUUGUAAAUUAUCUCAGCGUUUGGAUUGUACAAAACGAAUUCUGAUCGCAAAAAUGGGAAAGUCUUAUUUACGAAAUUCUACUUGCCUGGGGUGAACUCUGCCUCGGAGUCCUUCCACCAGAUUGACGAGAUGAUAAUUUCAGAAUUGACCUGCAGACAACAAUGCGAUAAAAAUACUAUCUAUAAGCAUCACCCGCUGUAACCGAACCCAGCGAGAUCCAAAUUCAUACAUAACAUGGCCAUUGACAUUGAGAUUUAUUAUCAUUUAUUAGUAGAAAAUUCCUAUUGCUGAGAAUGCCAAAUUAACCCUCGGGAGAUUAAAGAAUAAGAAUCUGGCAAUUUUCAACCAUUCAAGAAAACACUGCACUCGAAGGACAAUCGAAAUGACUAAUUAACGAAGAACAUCAACAUCACGAGCAAAAUAAAACAUAGUUGAAACAUAGUUCAAGAACAUUUCCGUACCUCCGCCACAUAGCGUAUACCUAUUCAGUGAAAACGGCGAGCGACGAAGAUAUUUGAGCGAAUAACCAAGUAAGCGAUUAAAUGCAAGUUGGGCAGUGGGUGAUGGAAAGUCCGGCCUGGUAGGAGGGUGGAACAACGGGUUCGAAAACUCAAAUUAACAAUCGGUUUACCGGAGGAAGAUCGCCGGAGACGAAGGAAAACAUCCGAUGACACCGGAAUUUUACCGCCUAAUUAGAUGUGUCCGACCAUCCGCAAGGAAUUAUUCCGCGAGUUGCAAUAGAUUCUACAAGGCCCAUUUAUAAAGUUGGGCCUUGAGCCCAAUAGAUUUGUAGGAGGUUGAUGAGCUGGGCUGAACGAAUCUGACAAGACUGCCCUUAUUCGGGUCCAUUGUGAUUCUAAAGGUAUGACUCGAUCAAUACUUUGUAGAUGUAAAUUUGAUAGACGAGCUAGUUUUUUUUGCAACAACAAAUACAGCCUUCUUUUUAAAUCUCAAUUGAAGCAAGGUAAUCUUUUAUGAUAUAACAUACGUGUAGACUUGAUUAAAGAAACAAACAAAAAAUUAGGGGAAAAAACUAAAGAGAUUGUAUUUUCUUCAACUCAAAGUUUCCCCAACUAAUAAUACUGUUGUUGCUAGUUAGGUUUCUCCCACCACAAGAACUGAUAAUGAAUUUAAUAACUGUAAAAAAAUAAAAUUUGGGAUAAUUCUUCUGUAAUAGUAUUUCAAGUGACCGAUACCGUUUUAGGCUAUUUUUAAACAUAGCAUAAUGAAUAAACAUAUAUAUUACACCAACACAAAUUACUAUUUUGUAUUUAUCAUGAUAGCAGUUUAUCUUGGUAUAUCACAUGUAAACAGUUAUAUUUUUUUAUAUUCAUAAAUAUUAUAAAAAAAACGUGCAUUAAAAACACUUUAUCCUUUUUCAAAAGUAACAAUAAUAAAUAUUUUUCUCUAAUAAUAUUCGAAAUUAUUUCACAACCUUUAAAGAUUGUGUGGAUUGCCCAUGUGUUCAAGCAUCUUUAUGUCUAAAAUAGAUUCGACUUAGUUAAACUAUAAUUGACCAAUCAUUUCUCUCUAACAGUCAAUGAUUUGAUUUUUCAUUCUAUGAAUGUUGAAAACAUAUACAAGGGUGUAAAAAUUUGUUUAAAUGAUAAAACGAUUGAAAUAUUUACAAACAUAACAAAAUUUAAUAGUUUAUAAAUUUAUCCGCAUCCAUUUGACAUUUAUUAGAUAAAUGAUAAUAAUCUAUCAACAUUUAUUAUUGAUAUUUUACUAUAUUUAUAAUUUUUUUUUGGUUCAUAUCACUUUAUAGGAAGUGGUUAUAUAUAUAUAUACAUACACUUAAAAGCAUCAAAGUGGAGUGGUAGGGGCCAUGUCACAUGGGAAGAACAAAGAGGCAUCCCAAAUUCAAAGAGUGAACCAUGCAUGUCAUGUCACAUAAAGCAUUAAUUUUCUUUUAUAAUAUUUUGUUUCCUGUUUUUAGUUAAAAAGAGAUAUUUGAGAUAAAAUCCCACAAAAGUGAUAUCUAAUGAAUUUCACUAUCAUAUCCAAAAACUCAAUUAUUAGUUUUCAAAACGCACACACACACAAUUAUCAAAAUGUUUCUAAACAUAUAGAAAAAAUCUACUCACGUUUUUAUACUAAAAUUUCUUUUGAACAUUACUGAGGUUGUCUGUCUCUAAUGGGUGAAUUUCUUUGACAUACUUAUUUCAUUCUUUCAGCAAUCCUUCAAUUUAGAAAUCUAAACACUUUCUCAGAGCUAGAGAUGCAUCAAUCAAAGACUAAUCUUGACAUUUUUCUAAUUCUUUAUUACAAAUUACCAUAUUUUUCACCAAAUAUAGAAUCUAUAACCCAACUAUUUUUUGCUAUUCAAAAAUCGUUUAGAGAGAAAUUGCACAAUUAAGUCCUUGAGGAAAAUCGGCAAAUGGUACAUAACAGCCAUGAGGGUGGAAUAGCUUCCAUAUGAGAACCAAGGCGAUGGCUUCGUUUUAAGAACAGCGGCGACUGUCUUCUCGGCAAACUCGGCAGUAGGGGUGGCGUUAGAGCCCUGCGAGGCAUUGGCCCUGGCUAACAUUGCAGCUUCAAAGGGCUUGAAUAGCUUCAACUCAGGCAUCUGAUUAAAGUUGGCAAUGGCAGAGUUUCCAAUGUUUGAUUUAAUGGCUCCAGGGACAACGUUGAUAACGUCGAUUCCAAAGGGCUUCAGCUCCAUCCUUCAAUGAUGAAAAUAUCGAUCAAGUCAACCAACAUCACAGUGUGAAAUAAAUGCGAAAAUCAAAUGAAAUAUGUCAGCAAAUUGAAUUGGAUAUUCAUUGCGUUUAUUCAAGUUUCUAUCAUGGGCCGUGGCCCCCUAAAAAGCAAAAAGAAAAAAGAAAGUUUUAGAUUUUGAACUUUAAUGUCUUGGAAUAACUUUUCUAAGCAUUGAAAAAAAGAAAGUUUUUUUGGAGGGGUAUUUUUUUGCACAAGAGUUGAGAGUAACAACAUAGAAACAGAAGUAGAAGUGUGGAAUGGUAAACUUCCCCUCUUUAUUUAAACUAAAAAAUUUGUAGGCUUUCACAACUAAAAAACAUCAAUAACCCGUACAUUUUACUCCCAUCAGUUUACAAGUUUCUAGUUUUCAUAACUCACAACUUCACUCUUUGCCUCAAAGAUCGUCUUAUAAAACAAUGUUCUAUAAAGUCAUUUCAAACCGACUUUCAUGAAGAAAUAAGUUGUCUUGAAUCAACAAUAAGUAACCCAUAAAAAUAAACCCAGCAGAAAAAGAAAUAUUUGCUUACCCAUCAGACUUUUGUGGGUUGUUUCUGUUUCUACAGUUCUACUUCAGUGCAUUGUAACUUAAUAUAUUCUAUACAUAUCUUUGAGAUCUUUGAGCUGCUAAAAAGAUACACUAGAAAUUCAAUAGGACCCCGGCACUUAUUUUUCUCAUAUGAAUACUCAAUUUAAACUUUAAGCAUAAAGGUCUCGAACCCACUACAUAAUCAAACAAGCAAAAACAUCAAAAUUUCAAAUCCAACUAAAAAUUAUUCAAAGAUAGAUAAACAAAGUGGAAUGAUGCUCAUCCACUCACAAGAAUGGCUACAAGAAUCGGAACUCAAAUCCAUAGAAAUAUUAAUUUAAUCCCUUGAUUUAAGGUAAGAAUUGCGGUUGAAAGUUAAACUCCACCAACGAGCUUUAUUUGAAUUUUGGUUCUUUAUUUUUAAAAAUUAAUAUUUAUAAACCCUAUUUUCACCUCUAAUUUUCUUCCUAACUCGUUUCUAAAAAAUCUAAACCACUCAAAAACCAAAAAAAUAGUUUUAAAGUAUGUCUGAAAACUUUUUAGUUCUUUUGUUUUUGGUCCUCGAACAAUGGAUUUGUUCUUUUAACAACUUCCCUGUCAUACUAUUUAUCAAGAAAGACCAAAUUUUCUUAGUAAAUUUUCAAAUUGCAAAAACUAUCUUUCUUUACUUUUCAAAAUUUAGUCUUGGUUUUUAGAAUUGCAAAUUGCAAAAACUUUCUCUACCUUUCAAAACUUAGUAUUGGAUUUUAGAAUUAAUGAUAAAAGGUGGAUAACUAAAUAAAAAAACCAAUAGAUGAAAAGUAGAGAGUUUGUAAACUUAAUUUUUAAAAAGCAAAUUGCUAUCAAAUAGCUUUAGUAGUCAACUUUCAUCCCAGAAAAAGACUAGUGAGGUUCAAAUUAACUUAAUAAACUAUCACUAGCGAGGGUCUGGAAGAUCGAGAUAAUUAACUAAGGCAAGGCAAAACAUUUCGUGCAUGAUCAGGAACACAAAACAAUUGUUAAUUAUACCAUUAGAUGAGAAUCAGAGAGGUAUAUACGAACCUCAGACAGUCAGAAAUGGAAUGAAUAGCAGCUUUGGAUGCAGUAUAAGCACCAGCCCAUGGAAGAGGCGCCAAUACGGUGACACUUCCCAAAUUCACAAUCUUCCCCUUUCUUCGUGAUGCCAUGUGAGGAACCACGGUUUGAAUCAAUCUCAUAGUCCCUGCAAAUGCAAUUCUCCAAUUCAUAAAUACUAAUUUAACAUAAUACAAUAAUCCACUCCUUUCCAUAUUGGAGUGUUCAUGUUCAAAUUUUCCCCACCUCUAACUCUGCUUUCUACAUUUCACAUACCAAACAAACAGCUUUGUUUCUAACCAGUGGCGAAUCAGAAAUUUUAUUGACUAAGGCUUUAUAGACUAUUAAAAAUAAUUUGGAAGAAAAUAUAACUAAUAGGACUUGAACCUGAGUAUAGAGGGACUAAAUAAUUUCAUUGUUCACCAACUUCUUAAAUUGGUACUAUUUCAGUUUUCUAUAUAUAUAUAUUGUAAUAUAAAGAUCUUAAGUUGAUGGAAGAAAAUAUAACUAAUAGGACUUGAACUUGAGUAUAGAGGGACUAAAUAAUUUCAUUGUUCACUAACUUCUUAAAUUGGUACUAUUUCAGUUUUCUAUAUAUAUAUAUUGUAAUAUAAAGAUCUUAAGUUGAUGGGACUCGAGCUCCUGUACCUAUGCUAAAUCCACCCGUGUUUGCCAGGAAUACAAUUAUAUACAGUAGCAGAAGCUGACGAACACAGUAGAGCAGAAGAUAGGAUGAUAAAGUCUUCAGCGUUUAUUUCUAACCGACCACUGGAUCAAAUGUUAAUCACAAAACAAUAUCAAACUCAAAUCAAUUCGAAAUCUAAAUAAGCGGCUCAGUCAAUUCACAGUUUCUAAUCCCUAGAUUCGAUAUCAUUCAAUUCUGAAGGAAGAAAAAUGAAAUGGCGAAUCUGAAUAUUGAAAUACAAUUAAUUUCGCUGAUGGAUAAUUUGUUAGAGACCGAAGCUCACCGAAAACAUUGGUAUUGAAGGCGUUCUGCAUAGCGGAAAGUUGAACCUCGGCAAUAGGUCCAAUACAUUGAACGCCAGCGUUGUUCACCAAAAUAUCGAUUCGACCGAAUUUUUCGAUGACAAGAGACGUUAAUCGCUCGACGCUUUGGUCGGACAGGACAUCGAGUUCUUGUAAGAAAAAUCUGGGAUCGUGCUCCAGGUCCGCCAUUGAGGAGCGGGACCUGCUGGUUGCGACUACCAAACAGCCCUGGUCGGCGAAGGCUCGGGCGAGAGAGUGGCCUAUGCCUCCGUCGGAACAGCCGGAGAUGACAACUACUUCUUUUCCGGCAAAUUCCAUAUCCUUUUUAUCUUCUUGAAAAGUGAACGAACCCCGCCCUCCUCCAAAUUAAACCGAUUGAUAAAUCGGAGAUUGAAGUGUUGGGUAGCUCCAAGUACAUCAAUAAGAGCAAUUGCUCACUCGUCUGCACCUAGGCCCUGAAGACUUCCACAUGGCCGGUCUUUGUGGUGCCACUUGGCAACCCCACAUGGACGCUUUCCCUUUUUUCCCUCCUUCAUUUACGGUUAUUGUAUUUCUUGGGUGAUUUUAAAAAAAAAUUGGGAUUUUGGUUUUAAAUUUAUACAUAUAUAUAUGCUCAAUCUCUUCUCUCAUUUAUACAACACUCUUUAUUUUUAAUUAAUCAAUUAAAAAGUAAUAUUUUUAAAAAAUUGAAAUUAUUCUUACCAUGUUUUUUUAUUUAUGUUGCUAAUUCAUUUUCGUUAACUUGUGUUAAAUUGUUUAUGAAUUGUUGAUAUAAGUGGUUGAAGUUUCUACGAGUUACGUGCUGGUUUAUAGGAGUUGAAUGAGUGAGCAUAUGUGAGUUUUGAUUUGAAAGUAUCUGUUGAUAUAUAAAAUCCUAAUAAAUUUUAAACCUUUACUAAAAGUAAAAAUUAGAUUCCUUUGUUGAAGUCCAUCGAUAAUAGACUAUUUUAGUGAGGAGUAUCUAUAAGUAGUAGAUAUGGUAGAAGUCUUUUGGUAACAAAGUUUAACACUUGAUUUUAUUUAAAUUGCAAUUUUGGUUUCUUAAAUUCAAACCAUAGUUGGCAUUGGCUCACCGUUGGAAGGACGAGUAAAUGUUUAACUACAACAUUUAUUGCAUCCUUUUAUUUUAUUUUUCAGUAUCCAUUGUUUGUUUUAUUUGUAAAUUGUGAAUAAAACUAUGGCAAGAGGUAAUUGAAAUGAAACCAUAGCAAAUUUUAUAGAAUUAAAAGCCGUGGCACAAUGCAUGCAUUCAUUUAUCUAAAUAAUUCAAUUACAUGAGUACAAAAAAUAAUACAUUUUUUAAACGUAAAUGUUGAUAGAUUUUCAUUAGUGGAUAGAUUCUCAUGUCACAUCAUACUCUAUAUCGUUCAUAUCAAUAAUAUAAAUUUUUCGUUGAUAGAUUUUGUUAUAUUUUCUAUUUUUUAAAAAUAUUAUUAUACAAUUGUAUACCAUCUCUAAUAUUAUUAUGCCCUCGAUCAUAUCAAUCACUUUUAUAGAUUAAAUAAGUAUACAUCAUUAUAAUAGAAAUAAAAGUUCACUUUGUAUAAAAUUGUUUUAAAUUUCAUAAUACUAUGCAUAGUUUAUAUAUAGUUUAGAGAAUGUGUUCAUGAUACAUUCACAAAUAUUUAAUUGAAAAGAAUGUUAUUAAAAAAUAUAUAAUAUUUGACAAACACUCAAAAUUAGUCUUAAAACAACAUAAUCCAAACAUAACCUAAAUGGUUUUACUAAUUGAUAAUUUGUUUGCAUUUACUUGCUCAAGAAGGCCAUAAGUUUAGAAAUCAUCCCUAGGAACAAAAAAACGAAAAGUUAGAAAUUAUCCAAAGAACUAUUUUCCAUAUUGUUUGUUGGUUCUCAAAAAAAUAUUGAUUAGGUUAUUACAUUUUGGGACAGCAUACAUCUAAACUGACAAACUAAAUUUAGUAGUUUAUUAGUCAAUAAUUGAGUAAUAUAUCAUUAUUGACCACAACAAAUAAUGGCCUACCUCUUCAAAACAAUACUUCAAAUACAAAGUUUCCCCGACAAACAAUUACAUCGAAAAUUACAUCGAACAAAUCCAUAUUUAAUCUCCAUUUUUUUCAAGACUUUAGGAAAUGACAAUGCUAUUCCCCCCAUAAAUUGACCUAUAUAGAUAUAGAUAGAUAGUAUUUAAUUCUAAACCCUCUUAUUUCUAUCUAAACACUGGUACCAACAAGAAGAUGCUGUCUCCUUAUUUCGAGAAAAAAAAAAAGAUAUUGUCGAUAUUGUCUAAAGUCUUCCCUAAACGUGAAUUGAAGAUAAAAAGACGAAAUUUAUCACUAUAAUUGAAGGGAAAUUAAUUUAGUUUCUAUUGUUUCAUAAGUUUAGAUUUAGUCUCUUUUAAGUGCAGAAAGUCUAAGAGAAAUCCUUAUAAUUGAAUGAAGCUAUCACAAAUAAUCCUUGUUAUUGAGACUAAAUUAUAGUUUUCUUAAGUUAAAGUGACCAGUUUUACAAUUUAGAAUAGGAUUAGAAUGUUGGAUCUCAUUACACCAUGGUUGUACUAAAAAAUUACAACUUUGUUUUCAAGAUAUAGGGACAAAUUCUACAAUUGAAUGCAUAAUUACUACGAAUUAAUUAACCAGUUCUCCCAUGUUCAGAAGUAUCAGAAUCAUUUUUUGACUUGUUAACGUGUUUUAAUGAACUAGAACUAUAUUUCAACAACGCUCCAAAAUUCACACCAAAAAUGGAGACGAAGAGAGAAAGAAGAAGAUAUAACCCAUAAUUUGUACCUUCCUUAGUUUGAUUUCUAGCCAGAUCACAUCACCGAAGGAAGUUCAAAAAUUUACACAAGACGUAGAAAAAGAAAAGAAAAGAAAAAAAGCACUAAAAGCUUCGACUCUGGCAUGAAAUUUCUAUUGAGAAAGUAAAAGCCAGAGGAGGCCUGUUUUCAGGAAUUAGAGGUGGCCUGAAGCCCAAAUAGGGUACCCGGAUGGACUUUUUUACUGGAUUUUCCGGCAAUUCCGCCGGCGGCGUGAUGGGAAGUUUUUGGAGGUUUGACGGAAUCUUCUCUCCUGCCAGAUCUCUCCUGCUCCAUCCUCUGCAGUUUUUCCUCUGCUUUCUUUUUCAUUACAUAAACCCUAGCGCAGCUAGCUCCCAUGGAGGACAUGGUUUAUACAGAAGAAAAGGAAAUGAAAUGAAGAAAUUUCUACAAAUGUUUCAGUGGGCUUUUAAUUUGUUCAAUCGGUGGGUAUUGAAUGGCUUAAACCCUUGUUGUAUUUAUAGUGGAAAACGUGUUUGGUGGCCUUGGUGUUUCGUUGGCCCCUAGCGUAGGGGUCAGAUAACCAUAACCCCCAUUUUCUGUACCUUAUUUGGAUUGGACAAUUUCUUUUUAUUUCAAUCAAAUUUAAAUUAAAUUAAAUUUGCAUUUUUGUUAUUUAUACAAUUUUGCGUUUAACUUAAUCAAUGUAUUGUUCAAAAGUUGAGAUCUGCAAAUUCAUUGUUUCUUCCAUUCUAAUUUACAAAGGAUAAGUUUUGUUUUUAAUUUGAUCUGAUUUUUAGUUUAAUUUUAUAGUUUUUAUUUAAUUUUCUACAAUUUAAGCUUCUUUCAAAAUGCUAGCGUAGUUUUAAUUUGAUAUGGUUUGUUUCUUUAUUAAACUUAUAUCACUUCAUUACUUAAAUAGAUAUGUCAUGUUGCAAUCAUGUGCAUAGUUUGUGAAGUAAAAGUCAUGUGAACUUGGUUAAAUUUGUUAUGAACUCAACUUAAAAUUAAACUUUUUUAUUUAUUUGUUUUGACUCCAAUAAUACACUUGCAUAGUUGAGAUGUGUUUAGAUGUGUUUUACUGUUCAACUGUAGUUAGAAGUUUGUAUCUAAAUUUAUACUACAAGACAAAAGAUUAAUAAAGCAAUUGAGAACACAAAUGGAUAAGCAGUUGACUUAAUACAACUCUAAUUAACCAUUACAAGAUCUAAAUUCUCCUAAUUUAAAUGAUACAAGCAUAACAUUGUAUAAAUUUAAAUCUACAACUAAUUUGAAUCUUUCCAUUUACAUUAUGAAAAACACACUAUAUAAAAACUACAAUCUUUCCAUUUACAUUAUGAAAAACACACUAUAUAAAAACUACAACAGUAUAAUUAAUGUUUGAAUUCAUAAACGAAUCGGUUUAUAAUUUUAAUUAGAGUUUCCUUUUAGAAUCGUCAAUAUCUACUUUAAUCAUCUUCAAACUAAUGGAUCGAUGAUUUUCAAAUGUAAUCAUACAUAGAUCAAUUAUCUUUUUAAAAAAAUCUACAAAGUUUGAUACAGUAAUAAAAAAGUUAAUUAUUAGUUUAUGAUUUCACUAAAUUCAAUGUUCAAUUUUGUUUAGUAUGAUACUUGAUAAAAGAUUAUUGUCUUUAUGGAAAAAGAUCACAUGAAUUAUGAUUAAUUAAAUGAAGCUGAAUUUCAAAUUAACCAAUUAAUUAAUCACAACAAUACAAAUGAAUUUACACUAAAUUUUAAAGAGGUAUUUAAAAAUGGGAAGAAAAAAGAGAGAGAGAGAGAGAAAAGAAUUGAGUAAUAGACGCUCAAUAAUGGAAUAUUUAAUUGGAAUCACCAAGAUGGAGAAAACGGUUGAAAGACAACUAACACCGUUUACCGGGAUGGUUUUUAAAAACACAAAGUACACAGAAACGAAUAAAACGGUGGGAAACCCCAAGCUCUGAGGAAAAUAAAAAAAGAAACAAUGGCUUGUAUUAGAUGCGGCACUCACACCACUCCAACUGUGAGGUCGCCCCACGUCAGCUAAAGAUAUUAUAGAUGGAGGCGGCCAAAGGUUCUGCUUACGUGUCUGUUGAUUAUUCGCCCGAAAUUUCCAACAUAACAAAAAAGUGCUCUUCUUUUUUCUUAAUAUAUAUUUUUUUAAAAUUAUGGAAAUUAAAUGUUGGAGAGAUAAGAGUUUGAUUGAGGUCACAAUCUGAGUCGUGGACCGUGAAGGCACCUUUUUUCUUUCUUUUUCUCUCUUUCUUUAUUUACUUUGAAUUAUUUCAUUUGUCAUUAUUACCUUGCACUUACAAAAGUACCUAAGUCUAUUUCUUCAUUAUGCACCCACUCAAAUGCGUUGUGCCGACGGGCUAAUUAACAUCACCAUUCUAGAUAUAUCAUCAAAGAUUUUCUUUAUUAUUCAAAUUCAACAUUAUCCAAGUACUGAACUUUUUCCCCCAUUUGACGUUAGAUACUGUGGGUACAAUUUGAUGUUAAAUCCCACUAUAAUAUUUCAAUUCACCAUUUGUUCAAGUGCUGAUUUUUAUAGGAGUUAGAAGGUUAUAUGGUUGAGUUAUGAAUGGAAGGAGGAGAAAGAUUAUAAUAUGAUAAUGAUUCACAAUUAUAAAGGGGAAAGUCAAAUUAAAGUAAAGAUUGAAUGGUAAUGACGAAAAUAAUAUAAUUUAAUAAUUGAAAAAAAGAAUUAAUUUAAGAAUGAAAAGGAAUUGGCAUUAUGUGAAGAUACUGAAUGAAAUGGAAGGGAUGGAUGAUGAAGGGUACGGUGGUUACGGAGUACGGAAAUUCCAUUAAGGUGAGAAGAAUCGGAGAUUGAGAUUAGGUUGUCUGCCUUUUUCUACUGUUUCGUAUCGUUUUUUGCUUUGAUGUUUGUCCUCACUUUUUAAUUCCUUUUUCUUUUUUAAUUCUUUUUUGGAAGAAAAUUCCUAAAGGUUAGGUUUAAAAAAGGUUAUCUCUUACGUCCCACUAAAACCGUCUUCGGCCGAAAGGCCCAUUGGUUUUUGUCUUUCUCGCUUGGGCCGCACCCAUUUUUCCACUUCUGACACCAAACUCUCUAAACAAAUACAGAACAAUUUUGGUGAUAAAAGUGUUUAACAUAAAUAUAAUAUGUUCGACAAAUUUUGUUAUAUUUUUAUUUUUAAAAAUGUUUUUAUAUAUGUUAAUGCUUUAACAAAAUUUGUAAAAUAAUAAUAAAAAUAUUUUCUCGAGAAAAUAAUAAAUAACAUUUUUUUAAAAGAUAAAUCAACAAAAACAAUAAGAGUAAUUUAGAUGCAUUGAAAGUGCACAAACAAUUUUGUGUAUGUCAUUAACUAAUUACUUCCUUUUGGUAGAAGAAGGACAUUUCUGUAUGUAGUUUUGGAUGCUUGGUACGCACAGGCAUACAUUUCGUUCUUCAACUCCAAAUGAUUUCGUAUAUGAAUCGUGUCUUUUAAACUAAGAGUAUAUGUGUUGUUUAUCUAAAUAGUUGAAGGUUGCUAAUGACAUUCUUCUUCCCUUCCUCAAGCAUGUAUCCUACUAAUUAAGACUUGCCAUACAUAUGUUCAUGCCUUUACAUUAGUAAAGGUCUAGGUUCCUUUCCCUGGUGAAAGACUUGAGGAAUUUUUUUUGAAAUGAUUGAUUCUCAGGUAAAGUGACAUCUAUUUUAUCUAUGUAUAUUAUCGAUUUGAAAAAUUACAAUGAUGGCCUUUCAACAAUACAAGUUAAAAUUACACACCUAAAACUUUAAACUUAAUUCAUCAUCCUCUCAAACUUACAAAGGUUAGUUGUUCGUGAUAACUAUUAAAAACAAAAAUGGGCCAUGCGUGUGUUAAUAAAAUGUUAGGCAUGAUAGUUGAUUUCAUAACAACAUAUAGUUAGUAAUGAAUGAACAAUGAAAAAAAUUGUUGUGUGUGACAGAAAACAAUUGUGAUUUUCGUAGUCUUAUUUCUUCAAUACUUUAUCAAGAAAAUGCCAAGACACGCGUGGUAACAGUUGCCAUUAAUUACCAACAUAAUAUCAAAUUGAAUUCCACCAAAGUUGUUCAAAAGUCAAAAAUUCCACAUUUUGAUUAAAUCCAUUGUUUCCGUACCCAUUUCUAAUAAUUUCGAAAGUUUAAUACGAAAGAAAUAAAUUAAUAUCAUAUUCUAUUAUCUUUUUCAAAUCUUCAAACAUUGACAUCAACAAUUUAAACCGUUCAUCCGAUUAGACAAAAAGAAGGAAUAUAAAGUGAAAUUUUGCGAUGGAGAGAUUUUGUUCGUUUGGGCGGGAGGGUUUGGAGUUAUUAUUGAUGGAAAGGGUAAUUUGAGUAAAAUUGUAAAGUUGUGGCGGGACGGAAAGAGAUGGGCUGACGUGUUGGUUGUGGACUUCGGAAUGGGUCCAAUGGAUCCAGUCUCCUUCAACUUUGUCGGCCCACAAUACUCUUAACAAUAAUAAUAAUAAUAAUAAUUUAUAUUAUUUGAUUAGAGCAGCCGUACGUCCACAGUAAAAUUAGGGUUGUUUUGUUGCUGUUUAUUAAUUCCAUCCAAUUUUACGUCUCUUUCUAAAACUUCAAUUAACACUCACUAAUUAUGUCAAUUUUAUAAUUGAUUUACUAAAACAUGAGAGAUUUCAAUGUUGAAUCAAUUAAGACUAAUUGUACUGAGAUUUGAAAGGUGACAUUAAUUAUCUAUCUGUUCUUUCCAUCUUGUAAAUGGUAAAUAUGAAAAUAAAGAAUUUAGUGGAAACAAACUUCUAUUUCACACACAUAUAUAUUUGGUAACAAAUUAAAAAAUCGAAUUAUAAUAUAAACAAGAUGUAUCGUAAAAAAUAACAAAGCGACCAAAUUGUACAAAAUCAAGUGUAGUAAGUUUUUGUCGUUUCCUUGUGCUAUGGAUUGUGAAUAGUUUAUUUAUUUUGUAAUCAUUUAAAUAAUGGUGUUUAGAUGCAUUUAUACUAUAUUUAUAAAUAAAUAAAUAAGUUAUAAUUGUGAGAAUUGUCAAAAAUAGCAAAUUUGACAAAAUAUUUACAACAUAUAACAAAAUUUCAAAUUCUACUAAUAAUAAACAUUAAUAGACACUGAUAUGAUUCUAUUAGUGAUAUUGAUAAACAAUUAUAUAAAUUUUUAUCUUGGAUAUAAUCCAAAAUUUUGCUAUAUCUUAUUAAUAUUUUGAUAUUUAAAAAAGUGACUGUCAUAGUUACUCAAUAAAUAUUGAUAUUUAUAAAUAAUAAUGUAUUAUUAAUUUAUUUACCAGCCACGUUAAGUAAUUUUUGUAAUAUCAUAUAAUUUAUAAUACAUGGUAUUUAUAUUUUAAUUGAAAAGAAUAUAUAUUGAGUUUAUAAAGUUCAAAAUUUAAAAUCAUGAUAGAACAAAAUUAUUAUUUGUAGAAACAAAUAUCAACAAAAUGUCAAUAAUUUAAAGAUUAAUGGGGGGUGGUGGUGGUGGUCUGGUUUUGGUAUAUUGUUUAGAAAAAGCCAUUUAUGGGGAAAAUUAAUUGUUAGAAAACAUGGGCUUAUUAGGAAAUAUUUCAACUCUCUUUCUUCCUUCUCAUUUCCCUUAUAUGUAGAGAUGCUUUUUUAUUACACCAACUUUGUGUAUUUGGAUAUAUUUGUUAAUGUAUUAAUUAUUCCAAUCAUUAACAGACAAGUUAAUAGAUAUAUAAAACCAUUCUUGUAUAUAAUAAAAAUGGCUAUAGAGUUUGAAGCAGCCUGAAAAACAUCUCAAGUUUGUAGAAAUUAAAAAAAAGAAAGAAGAAUAAAAACGAUAUUCAUAAUUUCAUAUUAAGAAAAGAUAAUUAAGUAUGGAUGGUCUAUGAGUUGGCCAAUCCAACAAGAGAUAAAUAAAUAAACAAAGGAGAGGCAAAGGGAUUGAUUUUCUUGGAAAUUGGGUAAGUUCAAAACCAACUCAUUCUUUUCCCCAAUCAAUUAUUAUUUAACGUCCCAAUUUCCAAGUUGAUCCAAACUCAAAACACAAAACCAUUAUCAUAUUUAUUAUUUUUGUUCUAAAGUUUAGAGUGUGUGUGUGUGUGACAGUAUAUGAACUGUAUAUUCAUAUCUUCAAAUUUGUAUUCAUAUAUGUUUUAUUUGUGCAGUUUUUUGCUUUCUUUAAUUUGUCAAUUUCACGACACCUUUAGGUUAAGAAAUCAAUGCGUCACACAAACCAAACUAAAAGAAAAGAAAAGAAAAAACUUAUCUUUGAAACAGUCAAAAUAGAAGAUUGAAAUUAUAACAAUAUAGUUUGAUUUAAUUGUCCACUUGAAUGAGAUUAAUUAAGACAUCAUAUUGCAUCCUCAUCUACGUCAACCAAUUAAAGCCCACGUCUUAAAUCGACUAAGAACAUUAAUGAAUUUAAACCAUGAUUAUUGUUUGGAAGAAAACUUCUUAGAAAUUUUUGUAUUGAUAUCUUUUGGAAAGUUAAACACAUAUUGGAAUCUUGUUUUAAUUAUUGUAUAGGAUGAUGUUCAACUUAGGUAUGAACUUUAUCUAAUGUAGUUUAAAGAAUAUGAAAUCCAUAUUUUAAUCAAAUGUGUGUGUGAUCUUAUCCAUAUUUAUAUAAAUAAAAUAAAUGGUCAACUAUAUUGAUCAUUUUUUUUUAAAUUACACAAAUUAAUAAAUAGUUGCAAACAUUGAAACACAUAUCGAAACGUUUUGUAAAUUUAAGAUAUUCUUUAGUAUAAAUCAUACCAUAUAAUGAGAUCGACGUUAUUUAUAAUUUCUUUCAGAUAUAUAUCUAAGAUUACUGUUACAUGUACUUCCAAAAGGAAAAAAAUAAACAACCGUAUUAAUAUUUUGAUAAACUAUUAUAUUGUCUUAACUAGUAGAAAACCAAAAAAAUUUAAUGAGUAUGUAAAAGUAAGAGGUCUAUUGAUCGUAGCAUAUAUGGUUUAUCGUUAAGUUUUAAUUACAAAGUUUGAUAUAAUUUCUUAUAUUAGUUUUUCUACCAAAAAAGAUAGAGAAUUGAUGAACUCAAAGGCUUUGCAGAGUAAUUGGAACGAAAUUAGAGGUUGGAAUUUAAGUAUGACAUCAAAAUGAAUACAUUAAAACCCAUUUUGAGCUUAUAAUCAAUUAAUCUAUGUUCAUAUAUAUAUAUAUACAGAGAGAGAGAGAGAGAGAGAGGAGAGGAGAGAAAGAGUAUGAUAUUUUGGUAUAUAUGAAAGUAACACAUAAUCAAUAAUUGAAUGUAAAAUAAAAUAAUAAAAGUAUGAUUAGGGAAAGAAAAUAAUAAUAUAAACGUUGGGUGGGGGUGGGGUAUCCUAAAACGGGGUUUGAGGAAUUCCACGUGUACCGAAGUGAGGUUGGUUGUAUAGAAAUUCUAUAAAUCCCGGAGUUUGAACAUUUUUGUAACUAAAGAAAAGGAAAAGGAAAAUGAAAGAAUUGAAAGGAAAAGAGAGAAUAUAGUGUAGGAUGAAAUUUUCACAAAGCUUAUAAAAUUAAAAAGAAUUGAAUUAUUGGGUAUCUAUCUCUGCCUCCUCCUUCUCCUUCUCCUUCCCCUUCCCCUUCCCCUUCCCCCCAUCUCUAUCCGGACGAAGCUAUGGGAGCUCUCUCCGAGUUCUUCUCCCACCUCCACACAAUGACCGCAGUCUUCUUCACCCUCUUACUUCUCGAAUUCGUUAUUCUCAUUCGUACCAUCUUCGGCUUAAGACCUAACUCCGACAAGCGCGUAAUCACGACCGCUCAGUUUUUCAAACUCAUCGAAGACAAGAAUCCCACCAUCCGUUUCUCAAAUAAGGUCACCCCAAGUAUCGCCGAUCAGUGUGCCGUUUGCCUCUCUGAAUUCGAGGAAGGAGAGAAGGUACGGAAAUUGCAAUGCAACCACACUUUUCACAAGGAUUGUCUCGAUAAUUGGUUGAAACUCUGUUUCGCUACCUGUCCGCUUUGCCGGAGUAAGGUUUUGCCGGACGAUAUCGUCGCCGGCUACCAUAGGCUUCGAGACCGUGUAGAGUACGACGGCAGUGACGAGGAGCUCAUCUUUUUGUUAUCGGCAUUACAUGGUAACAGUAUAUAUAGAUUUUUCUAGGGCGAAACACCAAUUUUAUUUUGUUUUUAAUCACAGAAUAGAAUUAAACAACAUAGAAUGUUGAUUUUCUGUAGAUUAACUAGGGAAAUAUUGUUUUUCUCCCCUUCAUUGACGAGCAAUAACGUUAAGGGAACAGCUCGUUUCUGGUUCGAUCGAUCUCUCUAGCUAGAUCGAGAUAAAUCUAAAUCGUGUAUGUUUCUCUUUACUUGCAAUUACGCAACCCAACUGUUAGAUGUGUUGUUUGCAUGAUUGCUUCCUACUCUUCUUGGUCAUUCGUCAACGAAUCAUUAAUUUUGGAGACACCCAAUUUACAUCUUGACGGAGACCCUUUUUUUUUUUUUAACCCAAUAACGCACUGAAAUCCUCACUAAAAUCAUCCAAAUCACAACAACUUUUUUCCAUCAGGUUAAACUAAUCCAAAUGAUCUAUUGAGAUCUUUAAGAUAUUGGAUGAUCGUCUAUUAGUCUCUCUUGAUGUGGGCUUGUUGUCUCCGUAGGACCAGGAGUUAUGGUGCGAACUUAAUUCUAUAAUUUUAGUGGAUGCGAGUUGGUGAUCUAAUUUAUGGUUCUCUUACAAUGUAAAUAGAACAUGGUAUGUGAUGGCAUUUAUUAAGAACAUUGAGUGAAAGGAGAAGCAUUCAAAAUUUGAUGGAUUCUCCCUUGAUAUUUUCAUGGGGAUUUAGGUGGAGAUGGUAGGAGAAGGACUUAAUGCUCUGUAUCUAAAUGCACAACAAACUGAUUGAGCUCAUUUUCUCUAUAGUUAAACCCCGAUGGCGAAAGUGAAAACUAAUGGAUUGUGUUUAGCUCACCAGCACAUUUAUCGAAGAAUAGGUUUGCACGUUAAUCGAAAAACUUCAUUUUACACCACUACAACCUAAAGACAAACUUACUAAACACAACAUAUUAACUCUAUACUUAAACAAACUUGAAAUGUUUCUCAUUGGGAUGAUCUGAAACUAAAGCCACAAGCCCCCCUCCCUUUUUUUUUAAUGUUUGGAUCUCGUUACUUCCUCGAAGCUUUUGAAACAGUUUGGAGUUUGUUUUCUUCCACUUUUGAACACCCACCAAAAGAUGAGGGCAACUGAGGACACGGUCUUUAAAGAACAGUGAUUAGGUGAGAUGAGUUGCAUUAUUGAAGUCAGUGUGUUUAACUUUUUAGCAUUACCAGAAUCAGGGGAUGGGUGAAAGAGGAGAAGAAGCAAAGCAAAAACAGGUUUUAGAUGAUGAAGCCAAAUACCUAUUUACUGUUGGUGAGAAUAAGUUUGUCCUAAAUGGGGUUGUGGGAGCUACAGUAGUUCGCAUGAUGUACUGAAUUGUUCUGUAUGUCGGACAAUAGCAAUAAGUUGAAAUGUUAAACAGGCAAAAUCUCGUGGUGGAGCAGCGGAGGGUAAUUCAUAAGAUUUGACAUUUAAUGUCAGAUUCAAAAAAGUGGAUGAACAACUUCAAUAGUAAAGUAAUAGUACCACAAACCAGAAGUAACGCAUAUGGGGGAGAUGAAUCCUUAUCUAUUUUGGAAAUGGGGUUUGUUGUUGGUUUGAUUCAUUCCUUUUUCAAUUUUUCAGGGUUGAAUUUUAUUUGGUGCAUAUCCGUUUCCCUUUUUAACCAUGGAAUAUAUUGCUGAAAAUAAAAAAUAUGACUCUGUUUAGGUCAUGAGUUGGUAAGAAAUUAAGAUGCAACAGAUUCGUUUGGGUAAGAGUAAUAUUUGAUUGAAGAUGUGCGCCCAUUUCUAUGUAUCUCUUUCAAUUACAAAACAAAGAAUGAUUCAAACAAAAUUAAAACAACAUGGGGUAUCCUAAGCAACACAUAUAUAUUCAUCUAAGUGUCCAAUCAUGGAAUAUGCUACGUAUUGUUGUUAUUCCUUUCUUCAAUCGUGGAAUACAUCGUGAAAAUGUUAAAGUGAGCCCUGUCUGUUUAGGUCAUCGGUCAUGAGUUUGGUUAGUAAAGUGCAAUUGAUCUCGUUGAAAAAGAGUAAUGUUAGGGUCAAGUGUUGCAUCUAGUUGUGUAGUUCCUUCAAUUGAUCCAUCAAAAGUUGUCAUGUAAUAAAGUUUCUUUAUUUUUGCUUAAAAAAUUAUUUUAAGCCUCUUUUUGUUUGUGAUGGAAGAAAACAAGUAUAUGUAUACAUACAUUUAUACACGAUAAACUUGUAAUUAAACAUUUGAAAUGCGUCUCACCUGGUGAGUUGAGUUUGAAUUGUGAAGAAAGAAAUAAUUUAAUGAAUUGAUUGAAAGCUACAUUAUAUAUAGGUUGGUUUAUUGAAGUCAUUAAAUAUACAUUAUACAAAGAAGUAAUCUUUUAAAAACACAUGGCCACCACCAACUCCUAUCUGUAAGUUUGGUUCAGGGCUCAAAAUUAGAGACAUUCAGGAUGAUCAACAUCAUCUCUCUCAAUAAAUACAAAUGAUUAUAAGUCGAUUAAAUCUUUCUUUCUACAAUAAGAUAGUUAAAUAAAUGAAUUAAAACUAAUCAUUAUUUUUGCACAUCAAAUCAACCACUAUCACAUUAAAUAAUCAAUAAAUUUGAAGGAAAAAAAAGUCUUAAUCAAUAAAUUUGAAGGAAAAAAAAGUCUUAAUCAAUAAAUUUGAAGGAAAAACAAAGUCUUCGUCAACUUUUAUAAUUGUAAUUUGUGUGGGAGUAUGUAUUUAUAAUAUUUGUCUAAAUAAAAUAACUAUUAAAUUAGCAAGGGUGUUUGAGAUUUAUAGUUGCGUAUUGAUUUUAGAAAAACAAAUUUAAGUACAAUUUUUCUUUUAUAAAAUUGAUAUGAAACUUGUAAACAAAAUUUUUAUAUAUUUAGAAAUGAUUUUGAAUCAUUAUUGUUUAGAUUUUGAAUCAUUAUUGUUAUUAUAUUUUUUGAUUUGAGAAAUAGUUAUGUUAGUAUAUAAUUGUUUGUUUUAUAAAUAAUUUAAUGAUGUACAUUCUUUUAUUCCAAUAUUUUAUAAAAAGAAAACUGAAUUAGACAUCCAUUUUGGGAGUGGUUGAUUGAAAAUCACCCAACAAAAAUUACCAAUAACCUAAUUCGUUUUUUAAACGAUUUUAUAUUUAUUUUAGUUCAUGUCAAACAAGAAAAAGUGAUUUUGGACAAACACAAAAAAGUAUAUAUCUAAAUAUGGUGAUAUGGAUAGUUAUUAUGGCAACCAUGGAUAGAACUUGGAAUCAACUACAACUACAACUUUGGAAACAAAACCAAACCAAAACAAAAUUCAUAAUUCAUUAGAUGAACUUCUUAGUAAAUUAUUUUUAUAUACAUCCGUAUAUAUCCCCAUUAGAUGAUCAAAUUUACACUUUAUAUGAGAUUUAAUGUAGAAAUAGACUUUGGAUGUUCAAAACCUAACUUUUAACAGCUUGGACUUGAAAACAAUGAAUUUGAAAAGUACUUUAAAAAGUAACUUUUCCUUCUUACAAAAAAACCAAACCUAAAUUGACGAAAUUUUGAAUAAAUUAAACCAAAAUGGCCUCUCAGAUAAGACACAAAUGUGUCACCAUAACAACCUUUACCAUCAUUUGAUUUACACUCUUAAUUUCACUUUCACUUUCUUUGAAUGCCACCAAAAUUUCAUAACUAUAUAUCAAUUACAUAAAGAGAUAUCACGACCAUAAUUAUAAUUACGAGUUGAAAAGCUCACAAGGUAAUUUAUUUAAAAUUUUGUCUACGAUUUAAUAUCAAAUAUAAAUAUCAAAUUAUUAUUGAUACCAUCUUAGAUGGUGGAUUGAUCCCAAAUCAUAACUAUGAACAACUAAAUUCAUUGAUUUUUCAAUAUGGGAUCUGAACAGCCUCAUCCAUCCACCAUAUCACAUAUUUAAAAGCACCAACUAAGUGGCCAACUCUCGAUGAUUUCUUGAAAACCAAAUCAUCCAUCUUUUCCCAACAUUCAUAUGGUUAAUUCAAACCCUAUAAUAAUCAUCAAAUCAUAAUACAAUCCCACCCUUCUUCUCUCGAAUUCAAAAGCAUUUCAAAACUAAUAGAAUCCAAAAAAGGAAAAAAGAAAAAAAAAAUGUACAGAUUUGAGAGAGAGAGAGAGAGAGACGAGAAACAUUUACAAUAUAUAUAUAUAUAUAUAAACCCAAUAGAGGAACUCAAGCUGAGAAGAACCCAGUGGAAGCAGCUCGACCAAUUUGAGAUUUGGGUUCAAAAACCCAAUUGAAUUCCGACAUCUCAGCAGAGUAAUUAUGCUUUUUUGCCAUUUCCAUCAUCUUCUUCAUCCUAAUUGAAGUAGCAGUUGCAGAUAUGGAAACCCCAGAAGAACCCAACUCUUGAAGCUCUUGCCUGAUCAUCUCUUGACCUCGCCUUGGAUUCUUCGUCCUCCUCUCGUAUUCCUCUGCUACAAGAAUUGCAAUAUCCGCCAUGGCUGUGAUUUUUCAACUCUCCCUCUUAGUUGAUUUUGAGGAGACCCCUUUAGGAGGAUGACAUAAUUUAUAUUCAGAUUGAGGUAUGAUUGUGGAUAAGGCUGACAAGUCGGUGUAGUGUAUAAAAGAAAUAAAAAAAAGUGACCUUUGAUGACUUAGUCUGGUUUUUUGGGCAUUUUGGUUUUACUUUUUCUAUGGGUGGACCCUUUGUGGAGAAAUUUGAUUGUAUUAUAUUGUAUAUCUAUAAAAUAUACACAUGUAUAUUGUAUUUCAUUGAAGGGUCUUCUUUGAUUGUGCCAAUACCCAAAUAAAGGGGUUUCUUGGCAACAAAGUUGGGAUAGUUGUGUGAAUUAUAAUAGAAUAUAUCAGUAUUUCAAAAUUCUAAUGGAACACGUAUUCUUAAUAAACUUAUAAAGAAUUUACAGAUUGUUAAAUGAUACAAGAAUUGUUAAUUGAGAACAAUGAGAUUAUGUAUAUUGUGAUAGAUAGGAUAGAAAACCUAUCCAUUAUAAUGGAUGUCUUGUGGUGUUUUCAAUGAAGUUGGUGGUGGAAAUUUUGUAGGCAAUAUUCUAGUGGGUUUGGUGGGGGGGAGGAAUGGUAAAAGGCAAUACCAAUAGUUCAGGACUUGUAAAUGAUAAAGAAAAAAAAAAAGAAACCAACUCCACAAUGUUAAUUAUCUCAAACUCUUUCUUAAUAAAUGUCUGUCCUAUUCAACCUUCUCCUUCAAACAAUGAAGAGAGGGUAACUCUUCUUUGCUUUUCAAUAAUAAUAAUAAAAAAAACAUAUCUUUCUUUUGAAGCAAACUAGCAAAAUUGUUGAAAAAAAUAUUGAUAAAUAUAGUCAAAUUUUAUAUAUUUCUUAGUGUAAAAAAUAUGGAAACGGAAAAGCAAAAGGAAAGUGGUUUUUGAGAAUCGGAAAACAGCGAAACUGAGCAAAUGGUUUUGAUCUCAAAAACCAAAACCAUCACCGACAAACGCAUAACACAUCAGAUUCAUGUAACUAAUACGUGUCUAAUUACUAUUUGUUCUUCAAAUUAAUUAUAUAUUUCGUAGUACACAAUACGUGGCAUCAUAUUACUGGUUGUGGGCGGUGACAAGUCCACAGUCCACGCAUUUUCUUUUGUUUACUCUUUUAAAUCAUUCAUGCAUCUUAUUAAUUAGCUUCUAAAUAAUUCAUAAUUUAACCAUAGUAAUCAUAAUAAUGUCAUAAAUUAUACACACAUUUCAAUAAAUUUUAUUAAUGUAAUCAAUUUCAGUGUUUGGCAAAUAAAUUUCACUCUUCCAAUAUAUACCUAUUAAUAAUGAAUUUGAUUGGAGUUUUUCUAGUGCAUUAUUCUAUCCUUGUGAUAUUUAGAAGCACAUAUUUUAUAAUUAGGUUAUUCUUAAUGGAAAGUAAACUAAUGUAGUCAUAGUUAGUACUUAGUAAUUAGGCUGCAACUUACCCACUUGUUUAUAAAUCGAUGGUAAUUUUAGUUAGUGUAUUUCAUUUUAUUACACUUUUUUUUAAUCUAUAUUUCGUAAUCCUAUGAAAAUAAUGAGUUCACCUUGAAUUGAAAAAUUGAGAGUACUCAAUUGGACUGCAUUUGAGAUUUAUGUGAAACUCACUUUCGUUAUUGUUACUAUCACGAUAUUAAUUAGAAUUAUGAUAAAUGUUAUAUUCUUAGUUAUUGUUAUUCGGUAACAAUAACUAGUGAUAAAUUAUGUAUAGCAAGAUUGUAACUAUAGAUGCGAUAACUCGUAAUUGAAACUCAUUUCAAUUGAUUCAUUAAUAAAAUUUCAUUUUUAAAAAAUAAUAAAACUUUUUUUAUUAUGGUUUGGUAAACAUAACUCUAAUGUUAUAACAACUUUCUUUACAUCUCGAUUACAAUAACCAAUUUAGGCGAACAUAUUCCAGUCAAAACUUGAUCUUUUUAUAAUAAAAAUCCUAAGGAAAGUCCACUUUUAAAAUGCUAAGAUGUGCUUAAUAUUUACAAAAGUGUCGUUUUAAAAGAAUUGAAUUAUCUAUCGACUCAUCAGCAAGAAUCUCAUACUUAUCACCAUCCAGUUCUUGACAAAUGGGAGAUAAGAAUGAGAAAUAUAUAUAUAUAUAUAUAUAUAUAUAUACCUGCAGGCCAAGGGAGGUUUAGUUAUUUUUAAAAAGAAUGAUAAAAAUGUGCCUAAGAAAGAGGAAGACGGAAGUGAUAGUAGAAAACUCACAAAUAUAAUAUACUUUAUACUCAGUAAGAGAAACGUUAAAAGCAUAUUAAUUUGGAGACAUUUGUCAGUUUUGAUUGUAGGUAUUCAAAUUCGUUCCCAUUCCCUUUCCUCAAACGGAUAAGACGAAAGAAAGUAAGAAAGAUCACGAGCUUCAUCAAGCUAGCCAUUCUAAGAAUACAGAAGAAAAGGCUGAGGGUGUCACACAUCUGAGAGCAUAUGUAUAGGACUUUCUUGGUCCAAAGUAACUUGUAGUAAGUGCAACUGAGCAGCAAAAGCAUAUGGUGAGUUCAAGCUUCAACAGGUGCUCUUCUGGGCAAAGUGAAAAACUGACACAUUUCAUCUCAUAAAAGGCCAAGAGUUUUGAGCUGUUGAACGUGCUCUGCAGGAAGUGGUGGAGGCAACCAGUCAGAUCCUGUCAUCUCCCCAUCUACAUCUUCCACAACAUAUUCCUGUGAGAAAUCAAAACAUCCCAAAAAUAUAGUAAUCAAUCAAAAACCUAACCAACCAACAUAUUAUUCACAAGUGAAACUUUCUAGUCGUAAUUAGUCCAUUCUUGCCAAUUCAAGAAUAGCACAAAUUGCACAAUUACCAUCCGAAAAUUGCUGGUUGAUCCUCCAACCUCCUACAAAAAUGGUCGAUUCACAAUCAAUCCAUCCAUGGGAAUAUGUCAUUUGGUUUUAGUGUCCCCCACUCCUGUUAUCUUUCUCAUCCCAAAGACCAAUAAGACAGCCCUCGUGAAUGGAUGUGCUCGGCCAGCUGGGCAUCCACCUUCAUCCAUGAUGUUUGGCUUUUAUUUUCAUUUUCUAACGGGGUGUGUUUGGACGACUAGUAAUUUUGCUCUCUUUUAAAUCAUGGGAUUUACUGAAAUUUUUUAAGAGUACUUCUAAUCUAAAACACUUUUCUUUAAUCACACGCAGUUUGAAAAUUUGUAAAAGUAGAUAAAAGGCACUUAAAAAAGUACUUUUAGAUGAAACAUUUCAUUAGUUUUGCUUACAAAAUAAAUGCUUCACUUAAGAACACAUUUUUCAAAAUGAAAUCUCAGACUCGCCCAAAUUUAGUUGGUUCUGUUUAUUUCAAUAGCCAGUCUAGUGUACAGAAAAAGAAACCAUAUUCAAGUAUUUACACUCCUAGCUCAGAGUUUGAAAGUUAUGCACAAAUAAAUCUCAAAAGAGAUCAAUCAACUCACCUUUGUUAGCAUUCUUUUCGCAAGUAUGUGAUAGUGUCGUUGCCAUAUUCGUUGGCCAACCAUGGUAGCCACCAAGACACUAUAGAAUAUACCAAUCACUGUGAACAAACCAAGAACAAUCAAGGCCAUUAUAAGUAAUAAUGGCAGUCCUGCUUCACCAGCACCUCCUAGGCAUCCACAUUCAGUUGCAAUGCUUCCACAACUUUCGAAGCAAGUGGUACAGUCGGUCCACAUACAAAGAGUACCAGGUAAAUGACAGUCUGCACAUAGUCUGGAAAGAUGCAAGAAACACAUAAAAAUAUGAUGCUGGUGAAUAAACUAAAAAUACUAUUGUUUGGAAAAUAUUUCCAGCAUUUAUAUAUUAUAAUUUGAUGAAGAUAGAUAUAACGAGCUUUGAUAAGGAUUUUAGUCAUCAAUCUAAAAUAGCUUGAACGAAUUCUUAGCUUGGCUAAAUAUUGAAUAUUCUAUAUUUCCAGCAACAUUCUUUCACUACAAUGGGACGGGAAGCAGAAUAGAGAAAGAUCAGUCGUGUUAGAGAAUCAUCACUGCAUGGCAGCAGUUAUGCCAAAGAAUGAGCCUACGCUCCUCAACAAGCAUUGUUAAAAUUUGAAAACAAUAAAAUUUUAACAUAAUUAAAAAAGAAACUGCAAAAUAUGGAUUUAUACCCAGGGUGGCAACAACAUAGACACAAUUCUCUACAUGGUUGAGCCAAAUCACUCCUAACUCUUCGAUCAUAACAAGUGAUGAAGCAGCCAGAUACGCCGAGCAAUGCAAAAAAUAAUAAAGCCCCUGCAUAGGAAAUAACGCAAACUAGUAAAAACAGAAUUGAAAGAACUGAAAUAUGUCUUUCGAUUUUGUAGAACAGAAUAGCAUCUAACAUAAAGAAAUAAAAUAAAUUAAAAUUGUCUCUCUACUUUGAGGUUUGUUCAACUUUAAUCCACAUACUUUCAAAUAUUCAAUUUUUGCCCAUGUACAAAGCUUAAUAUUUUUCUAAAAAAAUCAAAAUUGGCUAAAUAAUAACAAUAACUUUCACGUAAAGAAAUAUGAUAUGUGAAUAUAUUUUCAAAAUUUAUAGUGAAAAUGCUAAGAAAUAUCAAAAAAUUAUUUUAAAAAAACAUUAAUAAGCAUGCAGGAGGGACUAAAUUAUAGAUUACUUGAAAAAGUUGAGACAAAAAUUGAUCAUUUAAAAGUACAAGGACUAAAAUUGAACCAAAUUUAAAUUAUAGGGACCAAAUUGAUAUUGCAUAUUUCAAGUUGACUCAAUAUAAUACUCAUACAGUGAAGGACCAUAAUCCAUUAACUACUUCCUCCUUAUGAGGUUCAACAACAAUAUGAAUAAAAUAUUGCGAUAAUGUAAUAAGCACAUUUUUUUCAGCUGUUGUUCUUUGCCCUCAAACUUUCAUUAGUUUUCAUUAAUUUCUAUGAAGCACAAAAGAUUUCCCAUCUCUCUACACACUUUAUCUCACAGGCUUUUUUUCCAUACAUAAUCUCACCCUGGUCUCUCUAGUCUCUACACUCCUCUACUACACAGUUCCUCUCAUCAUCAACUUCUUUCUAAAAAGUAAAAACAACCUCUCAACAAUUCUUCUCACUAUCACAACUUUUACAAUUUUAGAUACACCCCGACUAGUAGCUUACCAAUUCUUAAUAUACUUUUAAUUAAAACUUAAAAGACACUCCUUUCUAACUAAAGCACACCGCAAAAGUACUUAAAAAGUUAGAAUUAAAUAAGCAAACGAUAUAUUAUUACUUAUCAUCAAAGUUCUUAUGUUAAAAGUUCUUUGGAUGUGAACCCAUAAAAGUCAGAAGCGCUCUAAGCAGACCAGCAAACAAGGUCACUAAGACAAACUGCUUGAAGCUAUGGGCCAAACAAGAUUAUGCCCUAAUGCUAUAACAUAAAUUGUGCAUGCAAAGCUUGAAUCAGCCAAUUGAGAUUUUACCGCAUAUGUAAUAAAAACUAAUUUUGCUAUCAAAACCCCAAGUAAGACGAAGCCAGUAAUGUUGACAACCAUCUAUUAAGUAUGUCAAAUAUCCCAGAGAAGCAAUUACCUGCACAAAGAUAAACAAAGGAAUAUAAACUAUUCUACAGAAAAAUAAUCUCAUGCUACAACAUAACUUGGUUUGGCAAUAAAUUAAAUAGAAACAAAAUAAAACUUACAAGCUGAACCGCCAAAAAUAUAAAUAUAAUGUCUCUAGUCACAAAAAAUCGAAAUUUCAGGGUUCGCCAUUUUCUGUCAGCAACAGCAUGUACUCUCAAAUGGUAAGGGGCCUUACAUGUGGUACAGUGAGCAAAAGCAAACCCUUCCUGCAAUUUUAAUCACGGAUGACCAAAUGUAACUAAAUGAUGGCUAUAGAAAUUUCCUUAUUUAUUUUCCUAAAUAAACAUAGAACCAGUCUAAGAAGACAAAAACGAGACUGUAAAUAUGACUGGUGCGGGCGGAUACAAAUACCGCCCAAGAGUAGUGAUAUUCUUUAUUUUGUUAAUUACCCUAAAUUAGAGUCAAUCGUGUGAUAAAAAUUGAAACUUAAAAAAUGCUGGUGCAAGGAGAACAGAGUUAAUAAUGGCAAAAUACGAGUUAAUUUCUUAAGCAAUAAAAGGUAUCGUAACAAUCACUUGUUAAGGCUGAACUUAGUCAUUAAGGUGAGGAAAAUAUAACCAUGCAAAUUCAGGGAAUCAUGGGUGUAUUAUCAGCAACUUCAUUUGAAAAUUCAAUCACAAUAACUAAACUUACAUUGAAACCACCAGCAUUCAAGAUAGCAUUCAUACCUUCACGGCUCGCCAAUGAUCCAGACAUUCUCGAUGAACAUAUUUGGAUGUCCCUUUGCAUUUGCAAGGAGCAAUAAAAUCCCUACCUGAUCAUGUAAUGAAACACGCACAUUGGUUAAUUUAAAUACUCCCAUAGUCUCAGUGUGAUACCCCCCUCUCCUACCGUUAUACAAACUUUCAAGUGAACAGUCAACUCCAAAGAAUUCUAAAGCACGAAUGGCCAAGUGGAUGGGGAAUGUUAACAUCGCUUGUCAAACGAUCAAAUUAACGAAUUUUUAACACCGAAGAACCUAAUUAAUUAGACUUCAAGUCUCACGGUAUUGAAAGAAACAAUGAUCAUAAGAAAACACAUCGUAAUUUCGGAAAAUUAAGAUUCUAGGGUCCAAAGAACUUCGCCUAAAACGCUGCACUGAGCCAUUGAUUAUAAAGCAAGCAGAAGAAAUUAGGUUCCACAAUGAUUUCCCGGAAGGAAAAUGUGGAACAUACCCAAACGAAAACAACCCCACCAACCGUACGAAAACAGUCGAAACCUAACAAAAACUGAAAAACAUAGGAACGAGGAAUUACCAUCGGUCUCAAGGCAAAUUCUACACUGAAUUUGUUCCCCUUGACCAGCUUCAAGGUCGAUCUCACUAGGGUCGGUGAUCGGCGCCGGAGGAAUAAGAGGGGAAGAAUCUGACGGUUGACCCGCCAUAAGGAGUUAAGAAGCGGAAAAACACAAAAAAAAAAAAAAAAUGGUGGGAAAAAAGUGGAGGAGAAUUAGGAUAGCAUGAAGAAGAAAUAAGGGAUCUCCAUGUAAAAGAGUUGUAAGCCCAGAGAGAAUAAUAAUGGUGAAGCAGGAAGAAAGCAAGAGAUUGUGUAGAAGUGUAGAGCAGAAAGUGGUUGAAUGUCUUUCUUCCCAAAAUGGCCACAGCCUUCACCAUUUUUUGACCAACUUAUCCUUCAAUCCCUUAAAACUCUUUUCUAUUUCUAUCACAUCAAAUUUUAUAACUCAUUCUUUUUUUUUUUUUUUUUUCAAUUACAAAAUUUUAUAUCAAUUUAGUUCAUAAAUAUUUUAAUACUAUGAAGCUGGAGUAUGAAGUUUUGUUUGCCAACAAAUUGGCUUAUAAACAGUCACAAUCAUAACUACUAUAUAUAAAUUGAAAUUUGAAUUAUUGUUUGUUUUUUUUUAAUUUUUAAUUUAAGUAUUGAUUCGAUGCCUUUUCAAAAAUACCAAAUCCUCACAACUUUUUUCAUUAAAUUUAAGUUUUCUUUUUCUAUCCACAACAAUUCCAACGUAAAAAUGAUAAAUGUGUUGUAACUUCUAUAAGAAAUCUUUUUUAUAAGAAAAACAAAUUAUCUAUACGUUACACGUAAUUUGCAGUUAGUUGGGUUUAUAUGAUAAAUUUACAAUACCUUAGUUUAUUACUUGGUAUAAGAAUAAUAAAAAUCUAUUUACGUAAUAUUUAUAAUAUUAUCAUUAUUAUUUAACAUUUCUUUGGUUAUUUUUAUAAUGUUGUCCUUAUUACUUAUUAUUUAACAUUACUUUGGUUUUUCUCCAAUGAUAAUUAUUUAUUAAUAAAAUGUGAUCUCCUUUCAUUAUCAAAAAGAAAUAUAAAAAAAUCUGAACUCAUAUUACUCUUUUAUUUCCUUUGUUGCCCUUUACCCUUUAUAUGAAAAAUAGGGAGAGAAUAGUUUAAACAAUGUGAUUUGGGCAGCGAAAAGUGAACUCCUUCCAUUAUCAAAUUAAUUAAAGCAUUGAAACUAAUCGCCGUUUAUCACUGCUGCAGCUAAAAAAGUUCAAAGGUACUCUAAAAUUAUGCAGCGGAGACAUAAUUACUAAUUUGGAACACAUCCUAACAAACGUUCUCAAGAAGCUAAAAUAAAAAUUUUUAAAAGAAAAAAAAAAAAACCCAAAAGUCGGGGGAACAAAGCUACAUAUGAAAAGUGUCUAUGUCCGCUUUUUCAUCUCCCUAUUUUUUUUUACUUCUUCCUCUUCUUGGGAGGCUGGAGUGCUUCCUCGUCUUCGUCCUCGUCCUCUUCGUCCUCGUCAUCUGCUACUUCGUCUUCAUCCUCUCCACCAUCAUCAUCGUCGUCGUCAUCACCAUCUUCGUCGUCGUCAUCCUCAUCGCCAUCAUCGUUAUCAUCAUCAUCAUCACCAUCAUCGUCUUGAUCCUCCUCCCCGUCAAACUCUUCUUCUUCCUCUCCAUUCUCUUCCGCCCCACCAGCUCCACCCUCUGGAUUCUUCUUAGAAUUACUUUUGUUAUUAUCGUUGAGGUUGUUGGUGUAGUCAUCUCCAUCUUCAGAUGAUAAAUCCUCUUCACCUUCACCUUCACUCAAGUCGCCAUCCCCAUCACCUUCAUCGUCAUCAUCAACAUCUCCUCCAGCAUCGAGCGGUGUGGACGAGGGGCACAGGGUGGAACUAUCUCCUUUCAUUUCAGGAUUGAUCAGAAAUGCACCAAGAGAAUCCUGCAACAAAAUUCCCAAGAGUACAAUGGUCCAUAAGGUUAAGCAUGUCAGCGACCAAAAACAUCACUUCAAAAAUGGUCGUUGCAAUCAAAGAAAAACAGACAGAGAAACCACACAAGGACUAUCAAUUUCUAUGUUCCUUAUACACUUGAACUCAACAUAGUAGGCAAUAGAUUUUAAUGAAAACAUUAAUGCUAAAACAACGUAGCCGCUACCAGUUCACCUGAAUUUCCUUUUAAAAAGUCAAAUUGAUAGUAAUGCCUCAGAAUUUCUUUUGUUUUACAAUUUCAAAACAUGAUGAUUAGUAACGAUAAGGACAUAUUAAAAUAUUUAACAGAAUAUGAUGGGACAUAUUAACAGAAAUGAAUAGUAUGGCAGGCGUACAUUUGUUUAUUCCCCCCCGUCUCAGUCCUCCAAUUUGACAAUCUCUGUUUUUACUUUAACCUCCUCCCCUUUUUAUUUUAUUUUUUCCCCAUGUCUUUUCUUGUCGGGAUCUGGUCACCAACCAAAGUGAUAAAGAACCCACUUUAACGUUUAAAUUACCCACUAAUUUUAAUCAGCUACUUCAAUUGAAUGUCAUAAAUGGCAUCCAUUAAGAAGCAGAAAGGCAGAGGAUGGUGGGAAGGGAAUAAACUUCCCAAUCACAAUCGGGCGGGCACUAUCAUAAGCUAGAAAUAGAUACAGGAAGAUGAAAAGAUAAUCUUUUGGGCACUAGAAACCACGUAUUAAGAUUGAUUCCUAAUCCAACAAUUCUCAAAAAAGUCGCAAAGUACUCCAAGAAUUAUUCGACACCGAGUCCAAAGCAUAAUAUUCCAACAACAAAAGAAAAAGGUGACAUCUCCCUAUCUUAACAAUUGUUUAGUGAAAUAUUUCACAUGAAACGAAUAAACUUUGGAGCAUAGCUUUAUUUAUUUUAUUCUUAAAUGGAAAUAAAAUGAAAUUCCGUGUCAAUCAUCAAUAGUAUCUUCAACCACUGAAAUGAAGUGAAUUAAAAGAGGGAUAUGGCGUGUCAUUCAAGUUGUCGGUUGAGGGUCAUUUCCGUAAAUUCAGCAUCAAACCUCAACGAACCCAUCAAGUGGGGUCAAGAAAAUGAUGGCCCAAUAGCAAAAAAACAAAGGGAGAAAGAUAAAUCCAAAAGAAUCAAUCCCAUGACGCGUGAUUACAGUAAUUUCCUUGAAAAAAUAAAAAUGAAAAGUUUUCAACUUUUUAUUUUAUUAAUUUGUAGAAAAAGUUUUUGUUUUUUGGGUUUGAAAAGAUCAACCAAAAUAAUCUAAUGGAAGCCGUACGAUGGGAAUCAGUUAGCCAAACGGAAGGAGUGGCAGUGAAUGGAUCUGUUGGAUAUUUUUCUCACCUAUCCUACAGCUUACUUUAUCGACUAAGGCUCAGCCGAAAUCGGCAAACAUCAAAACGGUUGGCCGAAGCCGGGGGACUUCCAUAAAAAAACACACAAAAAACCAUCCAGUAAAAACCCAUUUGAAACAUAAUUUUUCCUCGAUAUGAAAAGCAUAUCAACUAGAAACAUUCAUUAACUGGGCAGAUAGAACUCAGAAAUUACAGAUAAGGUGGUAAUUAAAAAGGUUAGAGACAGAGAGGGGCCUUGCCUGAGCCAGGCGCUGGGUGUUGACCAGAGCCGAAGCUAGUAAAGCAGCUAAGCAAUUACUGGCGCAUGCCAGUGAGCCAUCACCGAGCGUGACACCUAAUGAAGCAUUUGCUAUCUCCAUUCGCGCGGCGACUGUUCCCUGCAAAUGGAUCAAAAAACACUGAUGAGAGAUGUGGUCGCCGUCAGAUCUGUCUCCAAAAAUUCAACAGCCGUUAAAAAAUGAAAAAAUGAAAACCUAAAAAUUAUAACAAAACAUAACUCCACCGGAAAUUCUCUCAGUCUCUCAGUCUCUCAGUCAGCCCCUUCCCCUACCGUGUUGAUUUGGUAGUUUCUACCGCCUAUCCUGAGGUUUGACCGCAGACAAUAAAUCCAAAAAGACUCAUUCUAAGACAUAUUCAAAUACCUUUUUUAAAAAGAGCAUAAGAAGUUUUCUGACGCAUCCUCUAACAAGCAGAGGGACCUAAACUUUCAGUGAAGCAAAAAAUUCCAGUGUUCAUAAAGUCAACGGUAAAUCCAUCCCAAAAGUUACAAAAAGCGUAGAUAUACGAGAAAUUAAACUCCACACAGCACAGAAAUUCAGUUAAGUCGUUCAGAAACGACCCCGAAACACUAGUAAAGUGAAGAACAGCAAAGAAGGUGAAGCAAAAAAAGCAGAAAACAAGAAAAGAUGAAGCUCAAAUAGGGGAAACAAAACAGAAACAGAUAGAAGGAAGAAAAAAAAGGAAUUAAGAGAAAAAGCAUACCGAGAAGAGAGAUCAGAGCAGAGAGAUGGUAGAUCUGGAGGUAUGGAGAUCUAAAACCACAGAAAAGAAGGAGGAGAAGGGAGGUUCAUUGUGGACCGUCGGAUCGAGAUCGAAAAGACAAAAGAGAAACGAAGAUAUAGAAUUAUCGGCGGCACUCAGAGAAGGGGGGGGGGGGGGGGGUUGAGAGGGAAAGAGGUGAGAGAGGGGAAGUGAGAGAAGCGAGUGCGAUUACUGGAGACCGACUGCCCGUAAUUUUCCAGUCCGGUAUCGGGCAGAUCGGGCAGCGUCGUAAUCUUGUAAAAAAGACCGCGUUUUAAGCUGCCCAAUGAGCCUCGAUGGACAGGUGUGGGUUCGGAUAAACUUUUCUCUUCUAUUUUUCCCUUUGGUCCUUUCUUUUUUUCCUUUUUACUUUUUCAGCAACCAGUUUUUCCAUUUAUUACACAAACCUUCCUCCAACGAAAACUGUCUUUUUCAUAAAGUCUUCGUCCCCCCCCUUUUUUUCUUUUUUCCUUCCCCCCCUCUUCUUCUUCUUCUUCUUCCUCUUCCUCUUUUAAAUCAUUCUUAUUUAAAUUUAAUAUGGCUUCAACUUUAAGCAUCUGAACAACUCUUUAUCUUCAGACUAAAAGUAUAGUAUUCAAAUUAUUAUUAUUCCUAAAUAAGAACAGUAUCGUCAGACCAGACUCAGUCCACCAGGAACUCCACAUCCUUGAUUAUAAAUUAAUAUCAAUGAAAGGAUAUUGUUAAUUUAAGAAUAAACCGAUAGAGCUUAGAUUUUAAGCAAGAGGGAGGUAUGGGCCUGUUUUAACAACCAGGCCCAGGCCCAUUCUUGGUCCAAUUAACCAUCUUCUUCUGGAAGGAUCAAAAGCUCCUCCACUUUAAAACCAUGGAAGAUGUUUAAUAACCCUAAUCCAUGUAUUUUCAGGAAUGGGGACACAGAUGGCUUAUAUUUUAAAUUUUCAAAACAAUUACCUUUUGAAAUAUGUCAUUACCCGUAGUUAUAAUCUAUGAACUAAAUGCAGUCAUGGUAGGUUCUUUGGCAAAGCAGAGAACGCCUUCUCUGGAAAAGGUUCGGAUAAAAGAAUAAUAGAAACUACAAAAUAAAUAUCACACGGGAAGCCUCGGUUCUUAUUUUGUUAUAAAUCAAUAGGUUGAAGCAAACUUAGCUCAACUUGCAUUUCCUUUCUUAAGAGAAUGAAGAUUUGAUUCAUUUUCGUUAUUAUACUAAAAAAACCAAUAAAAACUUAUCUCGAGACAACGAUUCAAUGUAUUUAUAAAUGUAGAAUAAAUGUUAGGUGAGGUGUGAUUCAAAAUUUAAAAGUUAAAAGGACAAACUUGUAAGGAAGUUAAAAAUUAGAUAUAACAUAAAAUUGGAGGAGCAAAUUAUGAAAGAAAGGAUAUAAGUUCAAUAAACCACAAACAAUAUGGAUUUUAUUGUUUAUGUGCUUUUGGGCAUAAAUUUGGGAGCUGUCUUUUGAAAUGAACCACCACUGGCAUCUAUCUAAUACAUAUUCUGCAGUAGUCAAACAUAGGAAUGCUGUAAAAGAAAAAAGAAAGAAAGAAAUGUUCUUGUUUGAUUAGUGGACCAAACUAUAUGCUCCCACCACCAAGUGAUUACAUAAUAUACUAAUUGGUAUAGCAAAACUUGGAUGCUUCUCAUACACCAUCUUUUUGGUGUACACCUAAAUCUCAUAACAAAAAAAUAGGUUUCUAUGUAGCAAACUAUAGUUGAACUAGUAGAUUUUGAAACCUAAGAAUCAAAAUAGAUAUCAAACUGAUGGAAGAACUCAAAAUUCAAAAGUAAAAAUAUAACCUUUUGAAAUCUAAAGAUCAAAAUAGAUAUUAAACUAACUCAAAACAAACAUUACUUUUAUUUCUGUUUUUUAUAUAAUACAGUGACAUAGUUAUUAUUUCCACAAUGAAUUGAGGUGUCAACUUGUCACUAAUACAUUGGAGAGAUCGUUAAAUAGACUAAAACGUUAUAAACUCACCAUUUAUCACGGCAGUUUAUAAAAAUGGAAGUUGUAAAAGAGAUCCAAAGAAAUCAAAGUCUUCAAAAGCCAGCAGGAGCCCCACCCUUUCUGGGGUCACUUACAGCAACAAGCUUCCCGAAGCCAUCACCUUGUCUCAAUGAGCUAGAACCUUGAACAAUGAACUGACAAAUUGUUCCUCCGGCAAGCCCUUCUAAGACGUGACCUUUCUUCGCAAGGACUGCCCUUGUUUCAGCCGGAACUUCAAAAUGAUCCCCCAGCACAGUGGUCCAGUUCUCAUAGUUCAAAAUGUUUGGAACCAGCUGUUCGUUUACCAAAUUAUAUUAAUUCCCAAACUUCAAAUUGCACUUCAGUGACUAAUAUUUUAGUGUAAGAAUGUUUGGAUCAGAUGAACAAAUGGAGGAAUAUUAUGAGAUGGGUUGGUGAAGGGAAGCUAGAUGAUGAAACGAACCUGAUGGUAAACUCUGGGAGCCAUCACAGAUGAGAAAGGACUCAUUCCUUUUGCAAAAUGAUUCAACAAAACCUCUGCUGUUCCAGCAAUGAUGAAGCCUCCUCCACUUGCACCGACCACAGCUUUCAGUUGACCAUUCUGUGGAUGAGUUUUACGAAAAUCUUCGAUUAUAACAUAUUUAUAGAGAGAGUGAAAUUUGGAAUUCAAGUUCAUUUGUGAUUGGAGGAAAUUAGAAUGAAAAGGGACCUUUAGAACAAUAGUAGGAGACAUGGAUGACAAUGGCCUUUUUCCUGGCCUAAUGAAAUUGGCUGGUGCUGGUGGAAGUUGAUUAGCAGAAACAUUAGCCGGGAUAGCAAAAUCGUCCAUUUCAUUGUUCAAGACUAUUCCUGUACUUGGGGACAGUAUAUGUGCUCCAAAAUAGUAGUUCACAGUGGUAGUCAUGGAGACGGCAUUUCGUUCUCCAUCGACUACAGACAAAUGACUGGUUCCAUGGUCAUUGAUUGGAUUCCAUCUGUUACAAACAGAAUAUAUGUUACCAACAGGCUCAACUCAAAGGAAGAAAGUAGAGAUAGAAGGUCUUGCUUGGAACGACGAGGAAGCACUUGGAAAUGCUUACAUUUAUAUGAGGAUAUAAAGGAAAUACUAACGGCGAAUCCAUGUAGGAGCACUGACCUGCCACCAUAAUGGCUUGGAUGAAAAGUUUUGUUGUCAUUGAUGGUUUUCUUCAAUUGUUCAGCAAAUUUGGGUGAGAGCAUAUCAGAAAGAACUUCGGUAACAUUGUAGAAAUCAGGGUCACCGAGGUUCGUCCUUACUGCAACCACAUGUUUCAAUGCUUCAAUCUCCCGAUGGAUACCAAGAGGGCCCAAAAGCCCUGAAGGCAGUUUAUAUUGAGCCAGAAUAUUAAGCAUCUGCAGUAGAACGUGGUGUUACUAACAAAAUGAACUUUUAACAAAACUGCUCAUAAAGACAAGACAACAAACUUACAAGGAUCACUCCAGAGCCUCCUGAAGGAGGAGGCAUGGUGGUUAUCUCGAGAUCCAUUGUACGAGAUAAGAUGGGGACUCUAGUUUUAACUUGAUAACUCUGCAAGUCCUUCAUUGACAGUAACCCUCCAAGCUUCCUGAUGUCUCUUAUCAAGUUAAUUCCGAUCGAACCAUUAUAGAAGGCACUGACACCAAAUCUAGAAAUAGUUCUUAGAGUUUCUGCCAGUUUCUGGUUGCGGACAAUAUCUCCCUGUUUCAACAAUUUUCCACCUGAUGUUAACAAGUUCCUGAGCCCUUCAUCCCCUAAGAUCCCUGAUUCUGUUCUAACCAUCUGCAUAUGAAGGUAUGGAGAUAUUUUAAACCCCAAGCGAGCAAGACGUUCAGCUGGUUGAACAAGCCUUGCCCAUGGAAGCUUUCCAUGUUGUUUCCAAGCCUCAUGAAGCCCUGCAAGUUCUCCUGGAACGGCAAUGGAAAGGGCUCCGGAUGCUUUUGAUGCAACAUUGCCAGCAUACAUAUUCUGUAUAUGAAUGCAAAAAAAUUUAAGAAACUGAUUCAAUGAGAAAUUUUGGAUGAGUGAAGUUAUCAGGUUGUGUAUAGCCAAUUGAUAACAACUCAUUAUUCAUCAGUUUCCAAAUGUUAAAACUCAAAAGUUACACCCAAAAGACUUUUAAGCAUAUGCUCGUGUAAAGUUCAACACAAUGAUGAUGAAAGAUAUGAACUACUUAAAUAACACUAUUCAAUGCCAUCAAACUAUCAAUCACUAUACAACAUUUGAAUUUCAGACAUGAAUGAACAACAUGAGCUUUCCAACAACAAUAAAAUGAGCAAGAAGACUAUAUGACCAUUGUGCUUCUUUUUUUCUUCAUGAAAAAUGAUUAAGUUGGAAAUCUAACAAAGAAGAAGAAAAAAGCGGAGUACCAUUUACCUCAGAAGCUAGCAAAGGUGCGGUCUCC
rnacentral:lncRNA from 1 species